rnacentral:rRNA from 1 species
GACGAACGCUGGCGGCGUGCUUAACACAUGCAAGUCGUACGGUAAGGCACUUUCGGGGGUCCACGAGUGGCGCACGGGGGCGUAACAGGUGAGUAACCUGCCCACACCUCUGGGACAAGGCUAGGAACCUGGUGCUAAUACUGGUUAUGUGCUACUGCUGCAACGUGGGGGUUCGAAAGCUCCGGCGGUUUUUGCUGGACUCGCGGGCUAUCAGCUUGUUGGUGGGGUUGUGGGUUACCAAGGCGGCGACGGGUAGCGGCACAGAGAGGGUGACCGGCGACAUUGAGUCUGACAUACGGCACAGGCUCCGACGGGAGGCAGCAGUGCGGAAGAUUGCACAAGGGGCGCAAGGCGGGUGCAGCAGCGCCGCGUGUGGUAUGACGGUCUUCGUGUUGUAGACCGCUUGCAGCAGGGACGAAGCUUGUUGUGACGGUACCUACAGAAAAAGCACCGGCUAACUACGUG